AGGAUAUAAUGGAAUAUUGGGGUCAGAAACUUUGUGAUGCUGCUCAGGAGGGAAAUCUUAAAGAUGUGGAAUUAUCUUUACAAAAUGGAGCUAAUUUGGAAUAUAAAGGUGAAUUUGGUAGAAUGACACCAUUAGUUUUGUCUUCUUGGUACGGACACCUGGAGGUGGUGACGUAUCUUGUCACUCGGGGCAGUCAGUUAGAAGCUACAGACUGCGUAAUGAUAAAUAUUAUCUCUUUACUCUGACCAAACUCCAUUUUAUAG